GGGGCUGUGGCUCAGAGGUAGAGCGCUUGCCCAGAAUGCAUGAGGCACUGGGUUGGAUCCUCAGCACCACA
rnacentral:tRNA from 1 species